GAGAACACUGUAUAAUUUUGUAAAAAUUAUAAUUUAAUGCACUGCUUGCAAAGGAAUAUCUAUAAAACAAAAUCUUAGUAGGAAAAUAUUAACUUCUGAAUUGUUGCUAAUACUCUUAAAUAUGUUUGCUUUUUAUGACCAUUAGUAGUAUUUAUAAAUGAAAAAAUUAAUGACGAUAACCUAGAAGUUAAAAAUAAACGAUUUGGAUCAUUGCUUUUAUCAAGCUACCCAAAAGCAACAAAUAUAUAUUAUUAUAAAAUGGCUUAUAACUAUAUAGUUUUACAACACAUAAAAUUAUUUUUGUACUAGUAUAUUUUAGUGGCAUCUUAGUUUAAUUAAAAGAUUUUCACUGACUCUAAUUAUCUUGAAAUUGGUAAUGUUAAAAACAAUCAAUGUUUGAUUGAUUCAUGCAAAAAUUAACUCCUAUACAUUACGUAUAAUUUCAUGUUCUAAUUAAUUUAUCAAUUGAGCAUAGAAAAAGUCAAAACUGAACUAGCUUAGGAAGCGCACAAGGCUUAUUUUUGUCUGAAUUAUAAUAUUCCCGUAGCGGCCAUUACUGAUCAUAAUUUUAAUUAGGUACUGAAAUAUACUAAAUUUUGUGAAGUUUAUGCUGAUUGGAAGCAUCGAGAUGUCUGAACGAUGAUUUUAACAACCUCGACAGCGAACAAUCAGCAAAUUCUUCUGUCUUUAAUACUAUAUAGCACCGUUGCAUACAUAAAUAAAUAUUCUUGGACAUGUCGAAAGAAGUGUUUUUAUAUUUUAUUUUAAUUCUACUUCAUGAUUCCCUACACUUGUUUCUAUUUCCAACAUUCCUAUAGUGUAAAGUUGUAGUCACAUGUCAAACGUAUUUCAGGAAACGUAUUUCAUGUCAAACGUAUUUCACGAAGUGUCAUAGUUAAUAAUUCAGUACAGUUUCUUCUGCGCAUGCGUACAUUGGGGUCUACAUCUUGUGAUGCAAACAGUACUGAUUUGGUUCAAAAUUUUCUUCCAGAGCCUAUAAUCGUGUUAUACCAAGCUUGAUAAUAUAUUUUGCUUUAGAGAAGGAAAAUGUUUAUAAGUUGUUACCAUAUGUCCAGGUUACGAUUUUGUUUAUAAAAAUCGCAAUUCGGGUUCCCAUGGAGGGGUUGGAGUACACAUUAGGAACACAACUCCAUGACUCCACCAUCCAGACUACGAAGUUCUUUGGGUCGACAUUCAUCCAAAUAGACUCCCCCUCGGAUUUUCCUGUUGGGUACUUGAUGCUGUU